rnacentral:rRNA from 1 species
CCCUUAGAUGUCCGGGGCUGCACGCGCGCUACACUGAAUGAAUCAGCGUGCUAGAAAACCUUGUUUGACAUGGCUAGGUAACCCAUUGAAAAUCAUUCGUGAUUGGGAUCGGGACUUGCAAAUGUGUCCCUUGAACGAGGAAUUCCCAGUAAGUGCGGGUCAUCAGCUCGCGUUGAUUACGUCCCUGCCCUUUGUACACACCGCCCGUCGCUGCCCGGAACUGAGCCGUUUCGAGAAGACUGAGGAUUUCUGACUUGAGGCCUUCACGGGCUUCUAGUCGGUGAAAAUCAAUUUAAUCGCAGCGGCUUGAACCGGGCAAAAGUCGUAACA